rnacentral:rRNA from 1 species
AUUGAACGCUGGCGGCAGGCUUAACACAUGCAAGUCGAGCGGGGGAAAGUACUUCGGUACUGACCUUAGCGGCGGACGGGUGAGUAAUACUUAGGAAUCUGCCUAUUAGUGGGGGACAACACCUCGAAAGGGAUUAAUACCGCAUACGACCUACGGGGGAAAGCAGGGGAUCUUCGGACCUUGCGCCAUCAGAUGAGCCUGCGUCGGAUUAGCUAGUUGGUAGGGUAAAGGCUUACCAAGGCGACGAUCCGUAACUGGUCUGAGAGGAUGAUGAGUCACACUGGAACUGAGACACGGUCCAGACUCCUACGGGAGGCAGCAGUGGGGAAUAUUGGACAAUGGGGGAAACCCUGAUCCAGCCAUGCCGCGUGUGUGAAGAAGGCCUUCGGGUUGUAAAGCACUUUAAGCAGGGAGGAAAGGGUAGUGGCUAAUAUCCAUUAUCAUUGACGUUACCUGCAGAAUAAGCACCGGCUAACUUCGUGCCAGCCGCCGCCGUAACAC